rnacentral:misc_RNA from 1 species
GAUGAAGAACGCAGCGAAAUGCGAUACGUAAUGUGAAUUGCAGAAUUCAGUGAAUCAUCGAAUCUUUGAACGCAUAUUGCGCUCUCUGGUAUUCCGGAGAGCAUGCUUGUUUGAGUAUCAGUAAACACCUCAACUUCCAUAUCUUUUUUGAAAUGGGAGUUGGACUUGAGUGAUCCCAACGCUUUCUUCCAAGAAAGUGGCGGGUUGCUUGAAAUGCAGGUGCAGCUGAACUUUUCUCUGAGCUAUAAGCAUAUCUAUUUAGUCUGCCUAAAAAACAGAUUAUUACCUUUGCUGCAGCUAACAUAAAGGAGACUAGUUCUUGUGCUGACUGAUGCAGGAUUCACAGAGACAGCUUCGGCUGACUUUGUAAACUCGAUCUCAAAUCAAGUAAGACUACCCGCUGAACUUAAGCAUAUCAAUAAGCGGAGGA